CGGAUGGUGAGCCUGGAGCGAGGGGCUCCCAGGGCAAUUUUGGGACAAAGGGGGAUGACGGCAUCCGAGGAUUCAAUGGGGCACCAGGACCGAUGGGCUUGCAGGUAACAAACGGCCAUGGCGAGGGUCACCCUACUGCCCACUGUUGAGCCAGACGCUGCUCACAUGCUCUUUCUCGACAGGGGCUGUCCGGACCAUCUGGGGAGAAGGGGGAGACCGGCGAUGGGGGACCCCUGGGACCUCCGGGACCCCCAGGACCACGAGGCCCAGCUGGGCCCUCCGGAGCUAGUGGUCCGCAAGGCCCCCCAGGAGGGAUCGGAAAUGAGGGGCCACCGGGACAAAAGGGCGAAUCAGGAGAGCAGGGUGGACCUGGCGUCCCUGGAGAGUCCGGCCCGAAGGGCCCGCGGGGUGAGCAAGGAGAGAAAGGGGAAGCCGGAAGCGCUGGUGUGGCCGGACCCCCUG
rnacentral:lncRNA from 1 species